rnacentral:rRNA from 1 species
CUAGCGGCAGGCCUAACACAUGCAAGCCGAGGGGCAGCACAAAGACAGUUUACUAUUUUGGUGGCGACCGGCGCACGGGUGAGUAACGCGUAUGCAACCUACCUUAUACAGGAGUAUAGCCCGAAGAAAUUCGGAUUAAUCCUCCAUAGUAUUUUCUAAUGGCAUCAUUUGGAAAAUUAAAGCUUCGGCGGUAUAAGAUGGGCAUGCGUCCUAUUAGCUAGAUGGUAAGGUAAUGGCCUACCAUGGCAACGAUAGGUAGGGGGCCUGAGAGGGUGACCCCCACACUGGUACUGAGACACGGACCAGACUCCUACGGGAGGCAGCAGUGAGGAAUAUUGGGCAAUGGAGGCAACUCUGACCCAGCCAUGCCGCGUGCAGGAAGAAUGCCCUAUGGGUUGUAAACUGCUUUUAUUUAGGAAUAAACCCUUCUACGUGUAGAAGGCUGAAUGUACUAAACGAAUAAGCACCGGCUAACUCCGUGCCAGCAGCCGCGGUAAUACGGAGGGUGCAAGCGUUAUCCGGAAUCAUUGGGUUUAAAGGGUCCGCAGGCGGACGUAUAAGUCAGUGGUGAAAUCCUGCAGCUUAACUGCAGAACUGCCAUUGAUACUGUACGUCUUGAAUUCGGUCGAAGUGGGCGGAAUGUGUAGUGUAGCGGUGAAAUGCAUAGAUAUUACACAGAACACCGAUUGCGAAGGCAGCUCACCAGGCCUGGAUUGACGCUCAGGACGAAAGCGUGGGGAUCAAACAGGAUAGAUACCCCUGGUAGUCCACCGCUG